AGUGAACGCUGGCGGUAGGCCUAACACAUGCAAGUCGAACGGCAGCACAGUAAGAGCUUGCUCUUACGGGUGGCGAGUGGCGGACGGGUGAGGAAUACAUCGGAAUCUACUUUUUCGUGGGGGAUAACGUAGGGAAACUUACGCUAAUACCGCAUACGACCUACGGGUGAAAGCAGGGGAUCUUCGGACCUUGCGCGAUUGAAUGAGCCGAUGUCGGAUUAGCUAGUUGGCGGGGUAAAGGCCCACCAAGGCGACGAUCCGUAGCUGGUCUGAGAGGAUGAUCAGCCACACGGGAAGUGAGACACGGGGCAGACUGCUACGGGAGGCAGCAGUGGGGAAUAUUGGAGAAUGGGCGGAAGCCUGAUCCAGCCAUACCGCGUGGGUGAAGAAGGCCUUCGGGUUGUAAAGCCCUUUUGUUGGGAAAGAAAAGCAGCAGGUUAAUACCCCGCUGUUCUGACGGUACCCAAAGAAUAAGCACCGGCUAACUUCGUG
rnacentral:rRNA from 1 species